rnacentral:lncRNA from 1 species
UUGAAAUGAGUUCUGAAUAGACAGCAUUUUCUUUGUGCGGGUGGUAAAUAACCGACAGCAAAGUUAGCAAGUUACAGCGCUUCCGCGCCCUAAUUCCAUGGAACUUUUCUGUGGGGAGAAGGGCAGGAUGUUUUUAACAGAAUGUGACCUCCUGGGAACGCUAGAGAAAGUCAUCCCGUUCCUGAAUGGGGCAGAGUGGAGACACCCCAAGAGGAGCAGCAUAAGAGCGUUUUGGAAUAUAUCCCGGAAGAGAGAUCUUUCCACGCAUCUGUAG